ensembl:miRNA ggo-mir-1250 ggo-mir-1250
CUGUCCCGCUGGCCUGGCAGGUGACGGUGCUGGAUGUGGCCUUUUUGCCUUUUCUAAAGGCCACGUUUUCCAGCCCAUUCAACCUUCCAGAGCCCUCUGAGGUGGCCGCAGGC